CCUCUUUCAUCUCUGCUUGGUUACACUUGGCUUCACACGUGUGACUUUCAUAAUGGGGAGAGAGAGAAAAGACCUCCUGGGGACCUGGGACUGGCCAUACUGUGACUUCUCUUUCCUUGAGGGGUACAACAAGU
rnacentral:snoRNA from 1 species